CCGACCUUAGCUCAGUUGGUAGAGCGGAGGACUGUAGUGGUUGCUGUAAUCCUUAGGUCGCUGGUUCGAAUCCGGCAGGUCGGA
rfam:Populus trichocarpa isolate Nisqually-1 chromosome 4, whole genome shotgun sequence.